rnacentral:rRNA from 1 species
AGUCACUGACAUUAGAUACCCCGGUAGUCCAGGGUGUAAACGCUGCAGACUUGGUGUUGGGAACCCUUCGGGGGUGCUCAGUGCCGGAGAGAAGUUGUUAAGUCUGCUACUUGGGGAGUACGUCCGCAAGGAUGAAACUUAAAGGAAUUGGCGGGGGAGCACCGCAACGGGAGGAGCGUGCGGUUUAAUUGGAUUCAACACCGGAAAACUCACCAGGGGAGACUGUUACAUGAAACCCAGACUAAUGAUCUUGGUUGAUUUUCAG